UAUGCAAGAACAUUGAGAGCUUGGCAAGUAUCUCCCUUAAGCUGUAUUGAUCUCUGUGAUUUUUGUGUUUUGGAGGGAGGAAUUGUUACUGUCUUCCCAAAGCUCCAUUGUUACUCAGAAAUUCAUUAUAAUGGUGUGAGUGUUUAAUUUUCCUUUGCCAUACCAACAAGGAAGGCUGCUAAUUCUGGUUUUUGUUGUUUUUUUUUUUAUAACCAGCCUUUUCCUCCCUGCACAGACAGGCAAAUCAGUGCAAGACUACAGGGUCCCAAGGAGUUAUGAUGCAGAGUGUUUAUCUCCAUUCCUGAUUAUUCUGCAAGUUCCGAGACAAUUUGUUCCACAAACAACCGCAAGAUGCCUGGUGCUCUCAGUCCCCCAAGUCCUCUAAAAUAGAGACAAAGCAGAGGUAGUUGUUACAACUGACCUAAUCCUGAGUGGCCACCAGAAGAGACAGUGGACUGCUUAUUAUCUCUCACGACUCCAUCCUGAUGACUUUGGCAUUUGUGUGAAACCACAGAGUGGUAGAUGCAAGAGGCAGGAUUGCAAGCUCUGAAGUUGGCUUUGGGAAUAAAUUGUGAGAAGACAUGUUUUCUUCUGAGCCACUUGUUUUGUACUAGCAAGAGAAGGCAGCCUCCUUUAUUGCUCAAUAAAGGA